rnacentral:lncRNA from 1 species
GUGUAUUGACACUAAUGACGUAAAAGAGAAAACACGAGGAGCAAUGUAUUUCUUUCGUACCAAUAUAAAUGCAAUAGUUACCAUAUUGUAACACCGUAAAUUUCAAGGCAAAAUUUUCAUUUAAUUAAUCAAAUUAAUAUUAAAACACUUGUUUAAAAUCUCAUACACAUUUGAAUUACAAAAACAUAGUUCCAUUUUCACUUAGUAGAAAACCAGGAUCCUCCAGAAUACAACCCUUUCUUUGGUGUGUACAAUCGAGCCGGUGCCAUCUCGCGUUACUGAAAGAACCUAAAACAACAUAACAUGAAACACUGUAAGCACGAAGCUUAGUGAGUUCCCCAAUAUACACCUUACGCACAUACGCCUUUCCAGGCCCUGACCUUCCGGUCCACUGCACAAUGCCUUCCGGCCCAUGAGAUAAUCGCCUUCCGACUCAUAACGUAUUCGCCUUCCGGCCCAUAACAUAUUGCCUUCCGGCCCAAAAACAUAUACGGCACAUAAUACAUUUACUCUAACACAUAAAGCACAUAUAUCAUAUAUCAUACCUGACCUUUCUGUCACAUAACACUUUGCCUUCCGGCCCAUAUAAACAUGCAUAUCACGCGUAGCAACUAACUUUCCAUUUAUAGCAUAUAUACAUAACACAUAACAUAUUCGACCUUCCGGGUACAGUAUAGUGAGAAGACUCACCUCGUGGAUGCUGGAAGUUAGCAACUCCUGAAAUCACUUGCACCUGAUCCGCCGAGCUACAAGCUCCCUAUAACAAUAUAUCUCUUAUUAAUUUUAUCUUCCACGUUAACUGACCCUAAGAAAUCACACACAGGUCAACUCUGGUCAACGGUCCACGGUCAUCUCGACUGGACUCGGCGAGUACCCUGGCGACUUGGCGAGUCUAGUCGUCCUCACAAAUUCCUGGAUGUUCCCUUUCUACUCGUCGAGUAUCUCUCUUGACUCGACGAGUUUCUCGUGGAAGAAUCGCGGGGCCACCCCGACUCCACUCGCCGAGUCUGAAGAACAACUCGACGAGUCCCAGCUAUUCUUCAAGCUACUCGCCGAGUCUGCUCAUCCGACUCGGCGAGUCCAUGCCAUGCAGUCGAUCAAACUGCUUCCUAAGAUCAGAAUCGUCCCGACCAAUCAUAGGUCUGGUCCUCCUAAGCUGGUCCAUCACAAAAGGCCUUCAUUUAGGUGCUCAUGCUACACCCCAAGACUCAUAAUUCCCAUGUUAACCUAAGGCAUAAGGAUUUCAAUCCAAAACCUUCACCAAUUCCCGAAAUGCACAGACCUGGGAUCUUCUGGACCUCCAAGGGUCCCAACACAGGGUUACAAUCGUUUGGGGGACAAGGGUAACCAUUAAUCUAAUCACAAAAGGGUUCCUUAAACCCUAAUCCAUGCACACAUUCACAUAACAGAAUAUAAUCUGGAAUGUUACCUGAAUCAUGCCCUCUCUUUGUCCCCAAGCCUCAAAACAUGAUUCCCUUGUUGUUCCUUUAGCCAAAACCUUCCCCUUCUUGAACAAUAACUUCUUCAAAAUCACCAAUAGCCUUCAAUCCUUGCUCUAGAUGCCCCCAACCGAUUUAGGGUUCUUCUCAGCAGCUAAAAGGAAACAACGACGGCCAAUGAUCCCAUUUAUACGUCCCCAAACCUGAACGGCUAGGGUUUACGCUAAACAGCGCAGACUCGCCGAGUCCCUAUCUGGACUCGUCGAGUCCAGUCGCGAACCCGCGACCAGAUCUGCGAUCCUACUCGCCGAGUCCCCCCUUUAAAACACCCCAAAAUGUGAUUUAACAAUACUUUGAGAUUUCGGGCUGUUACACAUAUUUAACAAAUGACACAUGGAGGUCUAUUGUAGACCAAAUUAAAUUCUAGUUUUGUUGCGGGGCAAAAUGUUAAGUUUAAAACAAAAGAUUUACGAGUAAAAGGCCUUUGAUCUAGCGGUAUAAGAAGUGUUGGAAAUGUGUCCUUCCCCAACACGUUGAGGGUUGAGUACUAUGGUGGAGAAA